CCCGCGUCCGAAGCAAACGCAUUAAGCCCCCCGCCUGGGUACUACGUUCGCAAGAAUAAAACUUAAAGGAAUUGGCGGGUGCCCGCACAAGCAGUGGAGCAUGCGGUUCAAUUCGUGGCUACACGUAGAACCUUACCAGGGUUUGACAUGCCGGCAAAGGCCCCGGAGACGGGGAGAUAGCUAUGCCGGACAAAGGUGGUGCAUGGCUGUCGUCAGCUCGUGUCGUGAGAUGUUAGGUCAAGUCCUCCAACGAGCGCGACCCCCGCCGCCAGUUGCCAUCAUCGAGUUGGGCACUCUGGCGGGACCGCCGGCGACAAGCCGGAGGAAGGCGGGGAUGACGUCAAGUCAUCAUGCCCCUUAUGCCCUGGGCCACACGCGUGCUACAAUGGCCGGCACAGUGGGAAGCGACGCCGCGAGGCGGAGCGGAUCCCAAAAGCCGGUCCCAGUACGGACCGGGGGCUGCAACCCGCCCCCGCGAAGCUGGAAUUGCUAGUAAUCGCGGAUCAGCCAAGCCGCGGUGAAUGCGUUCUCGGGCAUUGCACACACUGCCCGUCACACCAUGAAAGCCUGCAACGCUCUAAGUCGCCAGCCCGACCCGCGAGGGGGGGCGGCGCCCAAGGCGGGGCCGGUGAUUGGGGUUAAGUCGAAACAAGGUAUCCCUACGAGAACGUGGGGAUG
rnacentral:rRNA from 1 species